CAAAGCCGCAUAUGGCUCAUUACAACAGCCAUAGUUUAUUAGAUUGUACUUUCCUACUUGGAUAACUGUGGUAAUUCUAGAGCUAAUACACGCAGCAAAGCUCGGACUCACGAACGAGCGCAUUUAUUAGAGCAAACCAAUCAGGUGAAAACCUGUCCUUUGGUGAAUCUGAAUAACUUUGCAGAUCGCACGGUCUCGCACCGGCGACAUAUCUUUCAAAUGUCUGCCUUAUCAACUUUCGAUGGUAGUUUAUACGCCUACCAUGGUUGUAACGGGUAACGGAGAAUAAGGGUUCGACUCCGGAGAGGGAGCCUGAGAAACGGCUACCACAUCCAAGGAAGGCAGCAGGCACGCAAAUUACCCACUCCCGGCACGGGGAGGUAGUGACGAAAAAUAACGAGGCGGUUCUCUAUGAGGCCCGCCAUCGGAAUGGGCACAAUUUAAAUCCUUUAACGAGGAUCUAUUGGAGGGCAAGUCUGGUGCCAGCAGCCGCGGUAAUUCCAGCUCCAAUAGCGUAUAUUAAAGUUGUUGCGGUUAAAAAGCUCGUAGUUGGAUCUGCGGUCAAGGGAAGUGGUCCUCCGACGGAUGUUACUGCUUUUCCUGACCUAAUACUUUGGUUUUCCCCUGAUGCUCUUAACCGAGUGUCUUGGGCGACCAAAACGUUUACUUUGAAAAAAUUAGAGUGCUCAAAGCAGGCGUUCAGCCUGAAUAGUGGUGCAUGGAAUAAUAAAAGAGGAUCUCGGUUCUAUUUUGUUGGUAUUGGAUUGAGAUAAUGAUCGACGGGGAUAGACGGGGGCAU
rnacentral:rRNA from 1 species